rnacentral:lncRNA from 1 species
CCAAGCCUCCCAGAAAUGAAUCAACCGGAAACGCAGCUGGGUUUCGUGGGGACCCGGUGUGACAUCGCGGAAAAGCAUGAUUUUUUCAUCGUGAUCGGAGGUAACAUGGGAUUUUCCAUUUGGUUUGAUCGCCAUAGAUUAAGGAGAGAAGUUCGAGGUUUGGUUUCCACUCAAAAGAGAUGAACAAUAUAAAAAGGAGCAGGAAAAGAGCAAACCGAAGCGAACUCAUAAAGGAGAAAUUGAUGGAUGGAGAUGUCGUGGGGUAUUGAUUGUAGAGAUGUGGAUCGAGAGAUCUGUUACGAUGAAGAACAAAGGGUGAAGACAAAGAGAUGGAGGCGCAAAGCAUCGGGGUUUCCGUCUCGCGUUGUUUUUUUUUUUAAUAUACCGAUAGAGACCAAGCCCAAUAAACCAAAACGAAGCCCAAACAAAAUCUUAUGAGAUCCACCGUGUAUAAUUGGUCUCGCAAUUGGUUCGCAAUUG